rnacentral:rRNA from 1 species
GGGUUCUGCUAGCGUAUGUGACCUGCGGAAGGAUCAUUA